rnacentral:rRNA from 1 species
UACAGAGGGUGCGAGCGUUAAUCGGAAUUACUGGGCGUAAAGAGUGCGUAGGUGGUUUGAUAAGUUGGGUGUGAAAGCCCUGGGCUCAACCCAGGAACUGCAUCCAAUACUGUUAGACUAGAGUACAGUAGAGGAAAGUGGAAUUUCCGGUGUAGCGGUGAAAUGCGUAGAUAUCGGAAGGAACAUCAGUGGCGAAGGCGACUUUCUGGACUGAUACUGACACUGAGGCACGAAAGCGUGGGUAGCAAACAGGAUUAGAUACCCUGGUAGUCCACGCCGUAAACUAUGAGAACUGGAUGUUGGGGGGUAUAACCUCUUAGUAUCGAAGCUAACGCGUUAAGUUCUCCGCCUGGGGAGUACGGCCGCAAGGUUA